CUGCCUUUCCGGAAGUGAAAGAGAAGAAGAAGAGCAGAAAUGCUUUGAGGAAGGGGUCGGAAGGUGAAGAGGUCCGAGCUAUGCAGAUAAUUCUUCAGAAAGUUGGAUACCAAAUUGAACGGACAAAGCAUCCACCCUGUCUCCAGCAGUGCUCAAAUAACAGAAAUGACUGCAGUUCAAGAUCACACUAAGAGAAAUAACACAACUAGGAA